rnacentral:rRNA from 1 species
AGUGAACGCUGGCGGUAGGCCUAACACAUGCAAGUCGAACGGCAGCACAGGGGGGCUUGCUCCCUGGGUGGCGAGUCGCAGACGGGUGAGGAAUCCGUCGGAAUCUACUCUGUCGGGGGGGAUAACGUAGGGACACUUACGCUAAUACCGCAUACUACCUACAGGUGAAAGCAGGAGACCUUCGGGCCUUACGCGCUUGAAUGAGCAGAUGGGGGAUUUGCUAGUAGGCGGGGUAACGUCCCACCAAGGCGGCGAUCCCUAGCUGGUCUGAGAGGAUGACCAGCCACACUGGAACUGAGACACGGUCCAGACUCCUACGGGAGGCAGCAGUGGGGAAUAUUGCACAAUGGGCGCAAGCCUGAUGCAGCCAUGCCGCGUGUAUGAAGAAGGCCUUCGGGUUGUAAAGUACUUUCAGCGGGGAGGAAGGCGGUGAAGUUAAUAACUUCACCGAUUGACGUUACCCGCAGAAGAAGCACCGGCUAACUCCGUGCCAGCCGCCGCGGUAA